UCUCCCCGGCCUACACAGCAUAUUUAGUUACUUUUUGGUUCUGCUCUUUGUCAUUUUCUAGAGGUUUUCAGUGACAGUAUGAGACCGUGACUCUCCUGGUCCUUCCUCCCGCCUGUUAAAUGCUUCGUAUACGAAAUGAAACUUUGAUGAGGCCUGGGGAGAGGUCCUCCAACCCUUCUGCUUAAGACCUGUGAUGGAAUAUUCUCCCAGCAAAGAUCCCUUCUCCAGAGCACUUUUGCAAGAAACCCUGCUCUGAGGCACUUCUCUGAGGUGGGCUGCAAGGCUGAACUACAUGUUCUUCUGCUGGAGUAAGAAAUGUGAUGAAAAGGGCUGAGCUCCGAGGAAGACGCAAAGAUGUUGAUGGAGGCCUAGGCAUGAGGAUGACAGCCUGGCUGGCCCUAAAGCAGCUAUGGAAGAUGCUUCCAACCUAUGGACAAUGUGAAGACAUUGUGGAUAGUGUGGAAACCAAGUGCCUUUGUCUGAAGUGAGUGAGACCUCCAAGGAAGGAGA
rnacentral:sRNA from 1 species